AUUUCAUCUGUAUUAAGCAGCGCUGCGUUACCCGAGGCUAUACAGUGCGCUCUGCACGAUCAAAGCAGAAAUGCAGCGGCUUCUGACGAGGAGUUAUCGUGGCUGAGGGGAACAAAAUAUCAAGGAAGGAGAAAAAAAAAAAGAUACAGAGCUACAAAAUACCAGGUCAUGGCACCAAAGUAAACACCCACAGGAUUGGGGUUUGUUUCCUGACAAGCUCUGAGGGAAUCCCAAAAGAUUCAGUGAUCCAGCUCAGCGUGGAUUAGCUUCCAACUCCUUGCUGUUGCUACUGAGCUACAGAUCCUGCGGAGCAGAUUUUGCUUUGGGAGCUCCCAGACUUCCUGGAAUCUGAGUUCCAUCAGAAAUACAGUGAACACCACAAAACAGCCAGAUAUUUAAAUUUAAGCACUUCAACCUGGAUCCAAAUAACAUCAAAGAUCAGUACAAGCAGCAAGUCAGCUCAGCCCCUUGCUGGAGCAGCA
rnacentral:lncRNA from 1 species